rnacentral:lncRNA from 1 species
UCGGUGGUCACAUUGGUGUCAAAUGUAGUUUCCAACGUGCUGUGAGUGACCUGGGUUCCUCGCAAACUGGACAUUGUUUCCUCCAAGUUCUGUCGAAGAUCGGCAAUGUUUUUCACAGUUCGUAAUCGCCGAGUUUCUGGAUCCUCUCCUGAGAGGUCUUCGAGACCAGGCUGUCCAGUUUUGACAUAGAGAGUAGAAUCCAUGCUGACCCC